rnacentral:rRNA from 1 species
AUUGAACGCUGGCGGCAUGCUUUACACAUGCAAGUCGAACGGCAGCGCGGGCUUCGGCCUGGCGGCGAGUGGCGAACGGGUGAGUAAUGCAUCGGAACGUGCCCAGUAGUGGGGGAUAGCCCGGCGAAAGCCGGAUUAAUACCGCAUACGACCUGAGGGUGAAAGCGGGGGACCGAAAGGCCUCGCGCUAUUGGAGCGGCCGAUGUCGGAUUAGCUAGUUGGUGGGGUAAAGGCUUACCAAGGCGACGAUCCGUAGCUGGUCUGAGAGGACGACCAGCCACACUGGGACUGAGACACGGCCCAGACUCCUACGGGAGGCAGCAGUGGGGAAUUUUGGACAAUGGGGGCAAGCCUGAUCCAGCCAUGCCGCGUGCGGGAAGAAGGCCUUCGGGUUGUAAACCGCUUUUGUUCGGGAAGAAAUCCUCUGGGCUAAUACCCCGGGGGGAUGACGGUACCGAAAGAAUAAGCACCGGCUAACUACGUG